CUACGGGUCGCUGCAGUGGGGAAUAUUGCACAAUGGGGGAAACCCUGAUGCAGCAACGCCGCGUGGAGGAUGACACAUUUCGGUGCGUAAACUCCUUUUAUAUGUCAAGAAAAUGACGGUAGCAUAUGAAUAAGCACCGGCUAACUCCGUGCCAGCAGCCGCGGUAAUACGGAGGGUGCAAGCGUUACUCGGAAUCACUGGGCGUAAAGGACGCGUAGGCGGGUUGGAAAGUCAGGUGUGAAAUCCUACAGCUUAACUGUAGAACUGCACUUGAAACUUCUAAUCUAGAGUAUGGGAGGGGGAGAUGGAAUUAGUGGUGUAGGGGUAAAAUCCGUAGAUAUCACUAGGAAUACCUAAAGCGAAGGCGAUCUCCUGGAACAUUACUGACGCUAAGGCGUGAAAGCGUGGGGAGCAAACAGGAUUAGAUACCCCAGUAGUC
rnacentral:rRNA from 1 species